CCCUGAUUAUGGGAAAGCACCCUGCCCUCCAAGCCUGGUUUGUCCUGUGGUGCUGAGCUGUGACGAGUCACGGAUGUCACAUGGAGGAAGUGAGAGGCUGAUCCUGCAAGGCAAAGUCACUGGGACUUGAGGCCAAAACCCUAUGAGAGACUCU